UACGAAGGGGGCUAGCGUUGCUCGGAAUUACUGGGCGUAAAGCGCACGUAGGCGGCUCUUUAAGUCGGGGGUGAAAUCCUGGAGCUCAACUCCAGAACUGCCUUCGAUACUGAAGAGCUCGAGUCCGGGGGAGGUGAGUGGAACUGCGAGUGUAGAGGUGAAAUUCGUAGAUAUUCGCAAGAACACCAGUGGCGAAGGCGGCUCACUGGCCCGGUACUGACGCUGAGGUGCGAAAGCGUGGGGAGCAAACAGG
rnacentral:rRNA from 1 species